CUUCUUCAGGGCAGGGUGUGAUUCCCUACCGGCGGUACAGCCCGCGAACCAGGCGCAAGCCUGGCCGAUUCGGUGAAAUUCCGGAGCCGACAGUAUAGUCUGGAUGAGAGAAGAG
rnacentral:ncRNA from 1 species